ensembl:lincRNA Gm27028 predicted gene, 27028
AGCAUCCUGCAGCCUUCUUACCCGCUCCAGACCUAGAAGCUGAGAUUUAGUCCCAAGUAUACUCUGUUUUCUAGCCCCUGUUCUAACACGUCAUGGGAUCUCCAGAUGUUCCACUGCAUCCUGAGGCUUGUGCUGCUCACCGCCAACCUGCUCUAGAGAGCACUGAGUGACAGAUAUUGUAAACAUCCUACACUCUCAGCUGUGAAAAGUAAGAAAGCUGGGAGAAGGCUGUUUACUCUCUCUGCCUUGGAAAUCAGCUAAGAGAAAUGAAUUUUAGAUGACCUAUAGGUGAUCCUAUCAAAGAUCUGUUAUGCGGUCAACUCUAAAAGGUAAAAGAGUGAGCUAAUCUGUGCUAAGAAGUACAAGACACUUUGGGAGAUUGGUUAUUUUUAACUGUUU